rfam:Branchiostoma floridae genomic scaffold BRAFLscaffold_149, whole genome shotgun sequence.
GUUUAUUUGUGUGUGAAUGGUAUUCAGCACCAGGGACAGGCCUGUUUAUUUGUGUGUGGACGGUGUUUAGCACCAGGAACAGGUGUGUUUAUUU